rnacentral:lncRNA from 1 species
CUCAUCUAAAGUUACAACACCAUCUUUGUUCUUAUCCAUUUUCUGGAAGAACACUUCUACGUGCUGCCUUGGAGCAUCUUCCUUCAGCACUGGAUACGUGUACUUUCCCAUCAUAUCAUAAAUUGCCUUUACUAUAUCCAUCAUCUCCUCCUUGUUUAUAUAGCCAUCCUUAUUUAUGUCGUACAGGUUGAACGUCCAUCUUAGCUUUUCAUGAACUGUUCC